GACGAACGCUGGCGGCGUGCUUACCACAUGCAAGUCGAACGAUGACGCCCAGCUUGCUGGGUGGAUCAGUGGCGAACGGGUAAGUAACACGUGGCCAACCUUCCCCCAACUCUGGGAUAACUCCUAGAAAGCGGUUCUAAUACCGGAUACGAUCUAGGCAGCCCUACGUACUAGCUGGAAAGGCUUUCGGGUUGGGAUGGGUCCGCGGCCUAUCAGCUUGUUGGUGAGGUAACGGCUCACCAAGGCUACGCCGGGUAACCGGCCUGAAAGGGCCAACGGUCACACUGGGACUGAGCCACGGCCCAGACUCCUACGGGAGGCAGCAGUGGGGAAAAUUGCGCAAUGGGCGAAAGCCUGACGCAGCGCCGCCGCGUGAGGGAUGAAGGUCUUCGGAUCGUAAACCUCUUUCAGUAGGGACGAAGCGAAAGUGACGGUACCUAAAGAAGAAGCACCGGCUAACUACGUGCCAGCAGCCGCAGUAA
rnacentral:rRNA from 1 species